rnacentral:miRNA from 1 species
GUAUUAGGUUGGUGCAAAAGUUUUUGUGGUUUUUACUGUUACUUUCAAUGGCAAAAACUGCAAUUACUUUUGUACCAACUUAAUAAAAU